AAAUUUUGAUGUCAAACUGGAGGUUCAACAAGAAGAAAGAUUAAUUAGAAUGACACUUACUAUAAUGUUGAUGAUGAGUUGACUUCCAAUGGAGGAUAUACACAGUUGCUUUAUAUUUAUAUAUAUAUAUGUGGGAUUAUACAUUCUGGUUAUAGUAGUAUACUAAUUGUAUUUCAUAAUUCUUUGAUUAAAAAAAAUUGUAUUUCAUAAUUCUUUGAUUAAAAAAAUUGUAUUUCAUAAUUAAUUGUGACCGUUGGAUCUUUUUUGUGUCCAAAACUAGAUAUGAACUCUAUAAAUCCUAUUUUCUUCUUUAUUUUUGGGUUUAUUUUCUUUUAUUUUUUGAAAUUAUCAAUAAGGUUUUUUUUAAUUACUUUCUUUUCCAAUAAUAUAUACUCUAAAAAAUUUCCUAGCUAUUUAUGGUUAUCAUUAUUUAUUUAGUCUACUAUGUAGGUGCAUCGUUCUAUAUGUAUUAGUGUAGGGACCAUCUUAAAGUAGGUAGGACUAGUGGACGCAGUACAACACAAACAUAACAUCUCAAGGGGAGUAAAUAUUAAAUGUAUGCUAUAACAAUCUAAGUGACAUUUUACCUAUCUAUGUGUUUGUCAAAAAAGGAUCAUUUUAAGGUGACAUUUUACCCAUCUAUUUAUCUGCCAAAAAAAAGUCAUUUUAAGGUGACAUUUUACCCAUCUAUUUGUCGACCAAAAAAAGGUCAUUUUAAGGUGACAUUUUACAUAUCUA
rnacentral:lncRNA from 1 species